AGAGUGAGGGAGAGGCAGAUGGAAUUGGUGGUGUAGGGGUAAAAUCCGUAGAUAUCACCAAGAAUACCCAUUGCGAAGGCGAUCUGCUGGAACUCAACUGACGCUAAGGCGCGAAAGCGUGGGGAGCAAACAGGAUUAGAUACCCUGGUAGUCCACGCCCUAAACGAUGUACACUAGUUGUUGGGGUGCUAGUCAUCUCAGUAAUGCAGCUAACGCAUUAAGUGUACCGCCUGGGGAGUACGGUCGCAAGAUUAAAACUCAAAGGAAUAGACGGGGACCCGCACAAGCGGUGGAGCAUGUGGUUUAAUUCGAAGAUACGCGAAGAACCUUACCUGGGCUUGAUAUCCUAAGAACCUUUUAGAGAUAAGAGGGUGCUAGCUUGCUAGAACUUAGAGACAGGUGCUGCACGGCUGUCGUCAGCUCGUGUCGUGAGAUGUUGGGUUAAGUCCCGCAACGAGCGCAACCCACGUAUUUAGUUGCUAACGGUUCGGCCGAGCACUCUAAAUAGACUGCCUUCGUAAGGAGGAGGAAGGUGUGGACGACGUCAAGUCAUCAUGGCCCUUAUGCCCAGGGCGACACACGUGCUACAAUGGCAUAUACAAUGAGACGCAAUACCGCGAGGUGGAGCAAAUCUAUAAAAUAUGUCCCAGUUCGGAUUGUUCUCUGCAACUCGAGAGCAUGAAGCCGGAAUCGCUAGUAAUCGUAGAUCAGCCAUGCUACGGUGAAUACGUUCCCGGGUCUUGUACUCACCGCCCGUCACACCAUGGGAGUUGAUUUCACUCGAAGCCGGAAUACUAAACUAGUUACCGUCCACAGUGGAAUCAGCGACUGGGGUGAAGUCGUAACAAGGUAACCGUAGGAGAACCUGCGGUUGGAUCACCUCCUUU
rnacentral:rRNA from 1 species